GCAAAGUCAGCCAGCCAGCCAGCAAGCUAAUUGCCUCGGAGCCAAGCAACAUUGAAGAAUUUACAAGUUGUUUUCUCUUCUGCCCGCGGAAUCCUGGCCAGGGUGUGGCACCUCAUGGCUGCAAGACGGCUACUGCCACAGUGCCAAGCACCGUGUCCUCACAUAACUGCGCCCGGGCAGAAGCUGAGAUGCAGGCAUGCUUGAUGUCAGACGGGCCCUCUCUGAAAAUCCAUUGAAUUCACACACAGGUUCACGAGGGGUAUGAAUGCUGGGAGUCUCCCUCUUGGACUUGAGAUUGACACUCAACCACUGAGCCAUGUCAGCUGGGGGGAAGUUGACUAUUUUAACUAAGUUUUCAAAUUUAUCAUCAUACAACUUAACAAAAAGAAGAUAAACAAUCCAA